UACGUAGGGGGGCAAGCGUUGUCCGGAAUCAUUGGGCGUAAAGAGCGUGUAGGCGGCUCGGUAAGUCCGCUGUGAAAGUCCAGGGCUCAACCCUGGAAUGCCGGUGGAAACUGUCGAGCUAGAGUCCGGGAAGAGGCGAGUGGAAUUCCUGGUGUAGCGGUGAAAUGCGCAGAUAUCAAGGAGGAACACCAAUGGCGAAGGCAGCUCGCUGGGACGGUACUGACGCUGAGACGGCGAAAGCGUGGGGAGCAAACAGG
rnacentral:rRNA from 1 species